rnacentral:misc_RNA from 1 species
ACACACCCAAACAGGUCAGGAACCGAUCUUUCUCCUUCAACAACGGCAGGAAUAUGCGUCGUUUGACGAGUUGCAGACUCACUCUCUCCCUCCUCAUUUUCUCUCUCCUCCCUCUUUCUCUCCUCGCUCGCCCUUUCGUUCUCGUUCUCUCGCAAGAUGAUCUCAAAGAUGCUCCCACCUCCGGUGAAUCCGAUGGGGAUUCCUCCCCCGACUCUCCGCCAGAGUGGGACGAGUUCGGCGACUCCGAUUCCAAGCCCGAGCACGAGCUCGACCCUGGCUCCUGGCGCCCAAUUUUUGAGCCUGAUUCCUCUACUCCUGAUAACACGGAGGACCCGGUGAUGGCGGAGUAUUACUCCGCUGUUCAGAAGAUGCUGGGAGCAGUGAGCGGCGGGGAGGUGAGGAUGAUGGAGGAGGCUUCAGCGGAGAUAGAGGCGGCAGCUGUGGCUGGGGAUCCUCACGCUCAGUCAGUUUUGGGAUUUCUGUACGGGCUAGGGCAGAUGAGGGAGCGGAAUAAGGCGAAGGCGUUUUUAUAUCAUCAUUUUGCGGCUGAAGGAGGUAAUAUGCAAUCCAAGAUGGCUCUGGCAUAUACGUACUCGCGCCAAGAUAUGUAUGAUAAAGCAGUUAAAUUGUAUGCUGAGUUAGCUGAAGUAGCUGUGAAUAGUUUUUUGAUCUCAAAGGAUUCACCUGUGAUUGAACCGGUUAGAAUCCACAAUGGAGCUGAGGAGAACAAGGAGGCUCUGAGGAAGUCGCGAGGGGAGGAGGAUGAAGACUUCCAGAUUUUGGAAUAUCAGGCCCAAAAGGGUAAUGCUGCAGCCAUGUACAAAAUUGGGCUCUUUUACUACUUUGGAUUGAGAGGGAUGAGGCGUGAUCAUGCAAAGGCAUUGGCAUGGUUCUUAAAGGCAGUAAAGAAGGGGGAGCCCAGGUCAAUGGAACUCCUUGGUGAGAUAUAUGCAAGAGGAGCUGGAGUUGAAAGGAAUUAUACUAAAGCACUUGAAUGGCUGACACUUGCAUCAAAGCAGCAACUUUACUCAGCUUAUAAUGGCAUGGGGUAUUUGUAUGUGAAAGGUUAUGGAGUGGAAAAGAAGAACUACACCAAAGCAAAAGAAUACUUUGAGAAAGCUGCUGACAAUGAAGAGGCUGGCGGGCACUACAAUCUCGGAGUAAUGUAUCUUAAAGGGAUUGGGGUAAAGAGAGAUGUGAAGCUGGCUUGCAAAUAUUUUAUAGUGGCUGCUAAUGCAGGUCAACCAAAGGCAUUUUACCAGCUAGCAAAGAUGUUCCAUACGGGUGUGGGACUCAAGAAGGAUCUCAUUAUGGCUUCUGCAUUAUAUAAACUGGUUGCAGAACGGGGUCCUUGGAGUACCUUAUCUAGAUGGGCACUGGAAUCUUACCUAAAAGGUGAUGUAGGCAAGGCAUUCCUACUGUAUUCAAGGAUGGCUGAACUGGGCUAUGAGAUUGCCCAGAGUAAUGCUGCAUGGAUUCUUGACAAAUAUGGGGAGCGUAGCAUGUGCAUGGGAGAAUCUGGAUUUUGUACAGAUGCAGAAAGGCAUCAGCGGGCACAUUCUUUUUGGUGGCAAGCUUCUGAGCAGGGUAAUGAACAUGCUGCUUUGCUGAUUGGUGAUGCAUAUUAUUAUGGUCGGGGUACAGAGAGGGACUAUGAACGAGCUGCAGAGGCUUACAUGCAUGCCAAAUCUCAAUCAAAUGCACAAGCUAUGUUCAACCUUGGAUACAUGCAUGAGCAUGGUCAAGGACUUCCAUUUGAUCUCCAUCUCGCUAAGCGUUACUAUGAUCAAGCCCAAGAGAUCGAUCCUGCAGCAAAGUUGCCUGUUACACUGGCCCUCACAAGCUUGUGGAUACGAAGGAACUAUGCAGACAGUUUCCUGGUCAACUUGAUUGAUUCAUUGCCUGGAGUCUAUCCAAAAAUUGAAGCAUGGGUGGAGAAUGUAAUCAUGGAGGAAGGAAAUGCGACAAUACUGACCCUUUUUGUCUGUCUCCUUACAGUCCUUUAUCUUCGUGAGAGACAGCGCCGGCAUGUUGCUGGUGUUGGUGGUGAGGUUGGUGUACCACCAAACCAGCCAUUUGAACAUGGUGCUCCUGUUGCUGUACCCCGUUAAUUGGUGGUAGUGAUGGUCUGCAGAAACAGCUAGAUUUUUUCCCGUUCUAUAUUUGUGAAAAGGUAAAAUUUAUAACUGCAAUAUAAUGUACAGCCUUCUGAAUCCAAGGGAGAUAGCUGCUUUAUUUUCAGGUACAUCUCACCAUAGAACUACUGAAGUGAGCAGAAAUAAGAAGCAUUUUUUUAACUUUGCAUGCCAGAAAAAUGUACUUAAAAAAGUAGAUCUGUGGAAUGUCUUUUUGUUGUACUAAUUUAACCAUUAAUUUAUUGAGGACACAUGAUUUGAGGCAAGAACUGAAUUGCUCUGCUGAUAAUUACUUUGCAGAACUAUUUAGGGCAAAGAUUUGAUCACAACACCUCUCUCUCUCUCUCUCUCUC